GACGUAGGGUGCAAGCGUUAAUCGGAAUUACUGGGCGUAAAGCGUGCGCAGGCGGUCUUGCAAGACAGAUGUGAAAUCCCCGGGCUCAACCUGGGAACUGCAUUUGUGACUGCAAGGCUGGAGUGCGGCAGAGGGGGAUGGAAUUCCACGUGUAGCAGUGAAAUGCGUAGAGAUGUGGAGGAACACCGAUGGCGAAGGCAGCCCCCUGGGCUAACACUGACGCUCAGGCACGAAAGCGUGGGGAGCAAACAGG
rnacentral:rRNA from 1 species